GGAGCCGCAUCCGCCCAUGUGCCGCAGGUUCUCUUACAUCGACCGCCUAAGAGUCGCGCUGUAAGAAGCAACAACCUCUCCUCCUCUCCGCCAUCUGCUCGGCAGCCGCAAAGCAGCAACCAUGCGUGAAUGCAUCUCCAUCCACGUUGGCCAGGCUGGUGUUCAGAUCGGCAAUGCCUGCUGGGAGCUCUAUUGCCUGGAACACGGCAUCCAGCCCGAUGGCCAGAUGCCAAGUGACAAGACCAUUGGGGGAGGAGAUGACUCCUU